GCGACCGCCGAUCGACCGCCGCUAGCGGCCCUUCAUGAAAAAGCACCCAGGCUUAGCUUACAGCAAGGCGCUGACUGUCAUUUCAUCACCCGAUCGCUCGACACGGGUCUGUGUUUUAGCUGGACUUAUUUUUCGUUCAUAUGGGCCGAUGAUGCUGGUCGAUGUGGAAAAAAUAACCGAGUUGUUUGGUGAUGGCUAGCCGGAGCUACAAAAGAGGGCAGCUAUCCACCGGUGUGUGACAGAAAGGACAUGCCGCCAACGAGACAUACGAGGCCGGGCAGGCGACCGCCGAUCGACCGGUGGUUGCUAACGCGGUGGUCAAUCGUGGAUCAGGGAAAGCGAAGGCAGGAGCGUGAGGUGAACUGAAUUUCAGCUUGUCUACUGGAGACAGUGCAGGAUAAAAUGAGAGUCCACUGUUUCUGACAUCAUGCUGUUACAGCGUGCCCACGCAGAGGUGUUGUGUGCUUCAGCAUGUCAUAAUAAGAAGUCACAGAACAAGAUGAGACACUCCCAUCAGAUCAUCUUGAGCACCAACAUGUUCUCUGUAGCUCUGCUGCUGCUGCUGGAUCCUGUGUGAAGUGUGAACAGCUGACACAGCCAGCCUCUGUGAUUGUGCAGCCAGGUCAGCGUCUGACCAUCACCUGUCAGGUCUCUUAUUCUCUUGGCUACUCGACAGCUUGGAUCAGACAGCCUGCAGGGAAAGGACUGGAGUGGAUUGGGAUGAAAUACACUGGGAACUCUCACUAUAAAGAUUCACUAAAGAGCAAGUUCAGCAUUGACUUGGACACUUCAAGCAAGACAGUGACUUUAAACGGACAGAAUAUGCAGCCUGAAGACUCUGCUGUGUAUUACUGUGCCCGAUACCACAGUAACACAAAACAUCAGCAAACCUGAACAAAUUGAAGAGAGUCUUUACUCAAAAAAAUUAAUAAAUGGGGAAAUUCCUUAGUGGAUCACAAUUCUUGAUUGAGGUAGUCGUAGCAAGAAAUUAAGCUCACGGCAGUUCAGCACCAGUUUACCAUAUCCAAAGGAAAUGACAGAAAGCAGCUGUAUCUGCAGAUGAGCAGCUUGACAUCAGAGGACUCUGGUGUUUAGUAACAAUGAAGACAUCACUCUGAUGAGUUUCUCCCACAGAAACAACUUUUGGGGAUUUCCUUACCUGGAUGAUUGAGCAUUCAUCAAGACAUCAAUAAUAAAUGUUUCAGUGAACAGGGAGAAUCUAUUUAGGUUUAACAGCACUUGUUUAGGAUAAAUAUAACAGUCAGUGAGAAAGUUUGCUUUGCUUACAUACUAACACUGGCCAAUUUCAAAUUUUAAAUUUUAAAACUGGCAGUUGUAAAAAUGUUUUGGUGUAUACAAAAGAAAAUUAUAAUUCACAACAUUAGUUCAGAGAUUGUUAUUAUAUAACAUAGAGAAAAAUGAGCACACACAAGAUACAAUAUUUAAUGAUAUGAGGUCCUGAUAAUCCUGUAUUAUUUCU